CAGGGGUGCCUUCAUGGUAGAUGUUCACCAUUGCUGCCACUUCUACAGAUAAGAGCCUUGAGGUUCCACAGGUUCUCUAGGACAGGGGCCACUGAGAGCAGGAACACUUAAGGCUACAGGAGCUGACAGGGAGGCCAUUUAUGGGGAAAGUUUGCUGGCGUGUAGAUAGUGUGUGAGUCAGCCAGCGAGUGACGGAGCUGGAGGGAACAUCUUGGUCCAGUGACGACUCUGGAGUGAAGGCACUGUGUGGGAAAACAUCACGAGAGCACAUCCUCUGUACACCAUCAGGGGUGGGGUCUGGCAGCUGGUUUAAGACCAUGCAGGUAAGCUUGAAAUGAAUCUCUCUCCGUCCCUCAUCUGACCUGGAUACCGAGUUCUGCAAACUUGGUGAUUUACUUGGCAUUGGCAGUUUUCUACUUAGAAUUUGAAGUUUCUCACUCUUCCAGAAAUGAAAUUCUAUCAACUUUAUUUUGCAAUCUGUAUAUCUAUAUAUAAUAUACCAUAUACUGCACACCUUACACUGCACACCUCACACCUCAUACAAUACAGAAUGAUAAUAUUAUAGUAGAUUUUUUAAAUGCAUACUGAAAUGAAAUCACUAGUAAAAUGUAAAAUGAAUAGCAACAACAGCCUUAAACAUCUCUAGCUGGAGCUUCUAAGAGAGUGAGGAGGACACGGUAAUCUCUUAAAUAUAUUGCUUAAUAGAAAGUGCCAAAAUAUAAGGUUUAGGUAAUUAAGUGAUUUGGAUAGUUUGAUCAAUGAAACUGAUUAUGUAAUUAACAUAUUCUUAUGCUAUAUUAUGCCGAUGAUUGUUGUUCAAAUUGCUAUGCAACUUUGAAUGUGUGAACCUCUAAUGUGUAAUUAAAAUUCUGUAUUUAGUUACUAAAAGUGACAGGGACAUGACUUUGAAGUCUAUAUUAUAAAUGUGAGAAUAUUGGCAAAUAUAUAUGUAUGCUUUGUAGAGAAGGAUGCUUUGCGCUACAUGUAACAUUGUAUCUCAUUUCAGAGAAGAGGCUGUGGUAAGUGGCCUAUGAGUUUGAUGGUCAUUUCAGACAAGUUACAUUGGAGGCUUCCAUUGAAUCCUGGCUCAGUUUUCAUAGCUGCAAGGUAGACUGUAGGCAUUAAUUUAAGGUUGGUAGCCUUCUCUUUUCCCAUUCUAGCUCCCAAUUAAUUGACACAAAGACCUAUUAUGUUAACAGACUUAAAGCGCUCUGACUGUGUAGAUAUUCCUCGGUUCUAACCAGCCACAUGGUCCUUUACCUUCUGUCUGAGUCUCACCUUGAUUCACUCUGCUCCAUUUGUGUCCUCUUGGUGAAUUCCUUGGCGACUUACUCAUUAUGACUCCUCCUGGACCUUCUGCCUCAUGGCCACCUCUUCUCUUCCUUUCUCUCCUUCUCGUCCUUCUCUUACCUCUUCCUACCUGGGACCCCUGGCUUGGAUUGGAAGUCCAGCCUUCCUAUCCUCUGACUAGGCAUAGGCUUAAUCAAUCAACUGUUGGUUAGACAAUCAGAGAUGGUGGAAAACACAUUUUAUACAACAUUGAGACAGAAGAUGCUUGACCAUGCCACAUUCUGGAUUGUAGACCGAUGUCUAGGCAUUAAAAUCAGAGUCUGAAUAUACAGUUCACAAGACCAACCCCCCAUCAGUGAAAUGUUCUCCACAGUGUCUGAAACUCACUUUUCAACUCAAGUCUGUAGACGUCAUUUCUCUAAUCUGUUGUUUUCUCUCUGAAUCCUCAUAUUGUAAUGUUCAACAUUUCCAUAUCUCUAGUCAUAUAUCCACCAUAUCACCUUUAACUGCUCUUUAACCAAUAGUAGUUUAAUUCUAAUUUAACUAUUUUUUCCUGUUAUAAUUUGAGUCUCUCACAUUUGCCUUAAUCAUUCUGAUAGUCAUUUAUGCCUUGCACAGAAUGGAAUGUUCAAUAUUCAUCUGCAAAUGAUAAAAUAAAGGACUCACUAAACUUCAACAAAUAAUGUGAAACGAGUUUCGCUUUAAUAACAAACUGUUCUUGAAACAGAUUUUUCUCUCAUUUGCUCACACAGAAUUGUGUCACAGGUCCCUUUGAAAUACAAACAGUGACAGCUAAAAAUUCACUCCAAAUAACAUUUAUGGAAAUUUUCUAUUGGACUUAUAGAUUACAGAGGUCGUUAUUCCUCUGUUUUUCUGCCCUUCCUGGUAGCUGAUCUCAAAGCCCUCUGAAGGCAGGGGCCUCAUCUAUAUUCCUCCCUGCCAUGUUGCUAGUUCUUAGAGUUUCAUGGUAAAAUUUGGGACUUAUCUCAAGGGCUGCAGAAUCACCCCUUCCAGAAUGUUAGAAGCCUGCACAUGACAGAUCAGACUUGAUAAUGUAGAUCUGACUCUAGUUGUUGGACCUGGAUCUAAACUGUGAUGGGCAGAGCUUCUAUGGAGCCAUUGCAGUUUUCUUUGCAAGAAAUCAGGAUGCCUCAGGUCCUAGUAGAUGGGGGUGGAAACCCAAACACAGGACAGAUUGAAGUUGUCUGUGGUAGACUAUCACAUACAGGUGGGUAACAAGUUCUGAGGGAUAAAAGAGGUACCUGAAUGUACUAUUAUUGUCCUUAUUAACAUAAAUUCUAUGAACAUAGCCCCUUAUGAUUGCUGGUUGUAUAUGUGUGUUCAGGAAAGAGGUUGUCAAGGCAAUAUUGCUAAAACAUGUUUUUUUUUUUUUUUUUUUCGGAGCUGGGGACCGAACCCAGGGCCUUGUGCUUGCUAGGCAAGCGCUCUACCACUGAGCCAAAUCCCCAACUCGCUAAAACAUGUUUUUAUAGAGGCACCAGAACAUUUAAGUGGAAUUAGCAGCCAUGUUUCAAAUAGGAUUCUUUUCAAAUAAUUUUUAAUAACAACUUACAAAGGUAUAGUUGACAAACUGAAAACAACCUGUCUCUGUACAUAUUUUGAUGAGUUUUGACAUGUGCAUAUUUUCAUGAUAUCAUCCCCACCCCCA